UGCAAAGGGCUUGCGGUUCGGUUCCCCGCUAGGCUGGCUGCACGGCCCUAGGCUCGGCUUCAGCUACUUCCAUCUCAGUUGCAGGUGAUGGACAAGGUGAGCUUGUUUAACUAAUCAGUGGUGGCUGAGAGUGUGCAAAAACUGGCAAAAAAUAGUGGCGUAGGUGAAGGAGUGGCCCUGAUUGAGCCAGCAGCAGUGGUCUGGCUGUCAUUAUGGAACAAGUGUACAUGAAGUAGAAGCUAUACCGGUGUCUUCUGCUCAUGUAGGCGAAUAGGGAGCGGGGGUUCGACGGUGGCGAGGAACGCGAGCACAUGAUGAUCGUGCUGGCACGAGGACCACCCCCUUGCCUUGGCCUCCUAGCAGUUCUUGGAAACAGUCAGUUUUGCAGGUACUCGUGGUGCUGCCUACUGAACCCUUUGAUUUGUGGCUCGGCAUCAGCGAUGGAUGCGGGGUUGGUGUCAUCGGAUCGCCGUCCUCAUGUUCCGCUAAUAGGAAAUAACGAUAGAUACGCUAGAUGUCAGCACCAUCAACUACGGCGAUGAGGUAAUUCCAGUCUCCAACCAUGCUGAAUUGCUAUGUAUGGUGUUUGCGAAUGGUGAUCCGAUCUGUAUUCUAGCCAAAUGAAAGUAAUAUCUUAGGAAAGAGCUAGAAUUCCGGAAGAAAUCAUGCUAGCAAAAUUUUGUGUCUUGAGGCAAGUGUGGAUGUAUGUACAUGUUUGUGCAACACAAGGAAGUGCUUGUCGAGAAUUUGCACAUAUUUUCUUUAAUUUACACCGGGCUUUGUAGACCACUAGUGGCUUUUGUGUUGUCACAUGUGCCCCUUAAUAUUUUAUUUGUGAUGUGAUUGUCUAGUUAGCGCUUCUAUGCUUUCUCUUGAGAUCAGUUUAAUGAGAGCUUGACAGUUUCGUGUGUUUUUUUUAUAUCAUGUUUUUUUAAAAGCUCGCUUACUUGCAUUCCUCCAAGUAUGAACCAUAAUGUUCAAGAUACGCACAUUUGAAUUGUCCUCAAUUUCUAUCUAAGACGGGUCGAUUUUCAUGCCAUGUUUAAAGAUUCUUCCUUGGCUACUUAAUAACAAGGUCUUUUUUAAUUCUGUCUACCAUUUUGUUUUCCACAUCCCUGCAAAAAAGAAACAUAACGUUUGGUUUUAUUUUUGGAAAAUCUGUGAAUUUGUUAGUUUCUGAUUGCUAGAAAUGAAGUUGGUGUUGAUGCUAUGGUGGUACUGAUGCAAUGCAAAAGAUGCCAGUUUGUCAAUGAAGCAGAACGAUAACAAAUUUUGCAUUUUAUUAAUUAUCAGUUGGGUAUUAUUAUAGGAUAGCCUUUUUAUGUUACAUGAAUGGUUUGUGUGCAUCUGUUCUCUGAUAUGGUACUUUUGAAACCUGUACUAAUAUUUUGCGAUUUAACAAACACACAACUGCUGUCAUAUAAAGAAGAAUUCUGAUGUUGCCUUCUCAUUGAUGCAUGUGCUCUUGCUGCUAAUCAAAAUACGAGUUUCUUGUGCCGAAUUGCUCCAUGACUUGGAAAUUGUUGUGUGAAUUCAUUAUAUUAAUAAGAUUUUUUUUUAUCUUCAGGGCUUGGUUUAGUUGACUUCAUCAAUGUCUGUCUUAAACUGAUUUUUAUUUGAUGUGGGCAAAGCUGGAGCAUCUGUUCUUGAGGGUUUUGUUAUUGCUAUAGUGCGGCUUGUUUUGUACUAGAUCUUCGAAAAGGUUUCAUGUUUUGUGAUUCAAUACAAUGACACCUUAUAAAUAUGAAUUAUGAUGUCUUAUUGAUGCUGGUAAACUGAUUAUUACUUUCUUGCCUUAUCUAUCUCUUGAUAGCCUUACCUAUUGCUAGCUAGUGAUGAGAUAAUACUGAUAGAAUUAUUUGAUCUAAAUAAUAUGUUUCCAUGCUUAUAUGCUUCCAUAACCUGCACUACAUGGAGCAAUGAGAAGUGGGGAUAUGCAUUGCCGGUCAAGUCGAAGGAGUGUUUUUACUGUAGUACUACAGUAGCACUCGUUACUCCAUUGGAUCAAUGUGCUCUACCGGUAUGAAGGAAGUUAAAACUAGCUAGGUUAUUCCUAAAAUCUAUCACUGGUGACCUGAUCAGUUUCGCCACCUAGAGCGGCCUCUUUCAAGGCAUCGGCGCCUUCACUAGCGCACUCCUGUCCGUGAGGUUGUUGAAUCCUCCAUCCAGCUCUGGCGCUCGUGCAUGUCCGGGAUUUAGAGUAUUGUACCUACAGUACAACUUCUACUGCUAACAAUGGUGGCUUCCAUCCAGCUGGAACUGAGCUGCUGUAGAACAACAGGGUGUUGGUUGCUGGCACCAUCCUGCCUCAGAAAUCCACCAUCAGACAAUGCGUGGCCAGGAGGUGGCUAUACCGAAGGAGAGGACGAGCUAGCGUUCCAGGAUGGAGAUUUGCUGGCCGGUGUGUAUCUUGGUGGGUCUGUCUGCUGACCAGCUGGCCGCCACCGCGGGAGUUGUUUGUGGCGGCGUUUUGCCGUUACUUAGUUCUUUCACUAGAAAUUUCUAUGACUUGGUACUGUUUAGUCGGUGACCUGAGCUUCAAGAUUUUGUUGUUGCAAGUAGAGGAUCUGUGCUGGCUCGAUCCGAUGCAUAUGUGUGUUGUAUUGAAUGUGAUGCAAGUCUUGUUAGCUUUGCUGUUGUGAUGUUUGACAGUGAACUCAAGGCUAUAUGCACUUAUAUUGUUCCAUAAUUUUAGUGUAAUGUGAAUUCCCAAAAAAGGUCAAAGGUCAUAUUGUAUUGAUUCUUGCAAUGUUUGAGUUGAAUUGUAUUAUUAAUUGUUUCA